rnacentral:rRNA from 1 species
UGUCUUUUUGAAAAUAAUAUAAAGUCUAAUCUGCCCACUGAUAUAAUAUUAAAGGGCUGCAGUAUAUUGACUGUACAAAGGUAGCAUAAUCAUUAGUCAUUUAAUUGAUGACUUGUAUGAAGGAUUGGAUGAAAUAUAAUCUGUCUCUUAGUUAUAAGUAAAAUUUAAUUUUUUAAUUAAAAAGUUAAAAUAAGUUAAAAAGACGAGAAGACCCUAUAGAGUUUUAUAAAUUAAUUAAAUUAAGAUUAUUUAAUUAUUAAGAUUAAAAUUAAAUUAUUUAUUGUAUUGGGGUGAUAAAAAAAUAAAUUUAACUUUUUUUAAAUUAAAAACAUUUAUAAGUGAUUAAGUGAUCCAAUAUUAUUGAUUAUAAGAAAAAAUUACCUUAGGGAUAACAGCGUAAUUUUUUUUUUUAGCUCAUAUAAAAAAAAGAGUUUGCGACCUCGAUGUUGGAUUAAGAUAAAAUUUAAAUGUAGAAG